GAAAUAAAAUUUCUAAGCGCUCUCAAAGUAAGAAAAUUCGAUGGUUUCAAUAAGCAAAACGACCGUUUUAAUAAUGUUCAUCGGAGUUCAAUUGAUAUGAUUUUAAAAGAAAAAAAACACCCGUUCCCUCAAAUUUGUGUGCAGAGUGACAAAGACGGAAACUGCGGAUCUUUUGACAAUCCGGUUUCGUUCAGUAAUUUUAUCGUGUUGUUUUGAUGGUGCGGAAUUUGCUUGUUUCCAAGGUUUCCUUUUUUUUCGUUCGCUAGCGUAAAAAAGUUCGGGUCGGUUACAGUCUAGCUUUGCUCCAAGCCAGAAUAAUUUAAGUGAAAAUUGUGUAUUAAGACAGUGACUUUCGUCGAAGGUUUGGACAUAGGGAUGCACUUUGACAAAAUCGGUCCUUCUGACGAGCAUCCGAAAAGCCCACACCAAUAGUACGGAAGAUGUUACAAAUAAUCGUUGCUCAGUGAGCCCGUGAAAUAAGGUUUGUUCCUCGAAAAUUGUCGUCCGGAAAUGGUGCGAAGAAACAUCGAAAAAUCCUGACGGAACAGUAUUUUUAUUUUGCCCGUAUUUCGGAAUGUUUUCCGUCUGGAGUCGGGAAGAAAAAGAGUAAACAAGACGAACGGAAAGCAGCAAUAACCAAAAAGUACGACGAUUGCGACACUGGACACUGGAGAUGGUCAAAAGAAGGCUAAAAGGCAUAACGAAUCCAAGGCAGCAUAGCGUAAGAACAACAAGAAACCGAACGCGCGGCGCAAAUCGAGAACAAUUUGCCGCCCCGAUAGAAAGGCAAAACAGGCGUUUCGUGAUGCGGCCCAAACAGCGCCCAUCUAAAAUCCGGACUCGUUAGUGAAUUGUAAUCGAUGAGUGGUCGUGAUACUACCUUUCUUACGAUGGUUCAUGAUAAACACAUCCACGUCAGAUGCGAAUGCGAUCGAUCUGGACGACGGAAUUGGAAAACAAAAACGCAGUGGUUGCCAGCUCAAUCCCGCAGCCAGUGUAGAUGCGUCCUGGUAUGGCAUGGUGCCAGAAACUAUCCAAUCCAACGACCGAGACAACUCGAACCACAGCAACCGCAACAAGGACAGAUGACCAGUGUAAGAUUCGUCUCAGUAGCAGAUGUACGUUGAAGGCUACGGUCAAGGAAUCCGGAUCAGCAAGGACCCGGUGACUUACGAGUAAAAGUUAGUGUUCUUCAUAGUCAUGCAGUUUUUUAUGUCAUUAUUUUUGCAAAAAAAUUUGUUGGUUGAUAAUUUUUGCCAUGAGUGUCUUAGUGGAUCGAUA